ACCGGGAAAGGGAAUAACACUAGAAAUGUAUAUAAGAAAUACUCAAGUUAAUAAAAAAAAUAAAAUGUAAAAAAAAUAAAAAUAAAAUAAAAUAAAAAAAAUAAAAAAAAAAAAACUCGGGACAGCAAAUGCUAGCGAGGAUGCGGAGAAAGAGGAACACUCCUCCAUUGUUGGUGGGAUUGCAGACUGGUACAACCAUUCUGGAAAUCAGUCUGGAGGUUCCUCAGAAAAUUGGACAUUGAACUACCUGAGGAUCCAGCUAUACCUCUCUUGGGCAUAUACCCACAAGAUUCCCCAACAUAUAAAAAAGACAUGUGCUCCACUAUGUUCAUUGCAGCCUUAUUUAUAAUAGCCAGAAGCUGGAAAGAACCCAGAUGCCCUUCAACAGAGGAAUGGAUACAGAAAAUGUGGUACAUCUACACAAUGGAAUAUUACUCAGCUAUCAAAAACAAUGCCUUUAUGAAAUUCAUAGGCAAAUGGUUGGAACUGGAAAAUAUCAUCCUGAGUGAGGUAACCCAAUCACAGAAAAACACACAUGGUAUGCACUCAUUGAUAAGUGGCUAUUAGCCCAAAUGCUUGAAUUACCCUAGAUGCCUAGAACACAUGAAACUCAAGACGGAUGAUCAAAAUGUGAAUGGUUCACUCCUUCUUUAAAAGGGGGAACAAGAAUACCCUUGGCAGGGAAGAGAGAGGCAAAGAUUAAAACAGACACAGAAGGAACAUCCAUUCAGAGCCUGCCUCACAUGUGGCCCAUACAUAUACAGCCACCCAAUUAGACAGGAUGGAUGAAGCAAAGAAGUGGAGACCGACAGGAGCCGGAUGUAGAUCUCUCCUGAGAGACACAGCCAGAAUACAGCAAACACAGAGGCGUAUGCCAGCAGCAAACCACUGAACUGAGAAUUGGACCCCCGUUGAAGGAAUCACAGAAAGAAAUGGAAGAGCUUGAAUGGGCUCGAGACCCCUUAUGAACAACAAUUCCAAGCAACCAGAGCUUCCAGGGCCUAAGCCACUACCUAAAGACUAUACAUGGAGUGACCCUGGACUCUGACCUCAUAGGUAGCAAUGAACAUCCUAGUUAGAGCACCAGUGGAAGGGGAAGCCCUGGGUCCUGCUAAGACUGAACCCCCAGUGAACGUGAUUGUUGGGGGUAGGGUGGGGAGGGGAACACCCAUAAAGAAAGGGAGGGAGAGGGAUUAGGGGGAUGUUUGCCGGGAAACCGGGAAAGGGAAUAAUAUUCAAAAUGUAAAUAAGAAAUACUCAAGUUAAUAAAAAUAAAAUAAAAUAAAAUAAAGUUCCAAUGGGUGUAACUGAGCAUGGCAACACAUAUUAUUAUCUGGGGGACAACAUGAAGAGUUCAAGGCUUCUGAUCCUUGUCUAUUGAUGCUGGGUCUCAAUCUCUUUUAAGGCGAUACAGUAAUGUGGAUCAGUGGUAGAGUGCUUGCCUAGCAUAUGCAAAGUCCUGGGAUCAAUACUCAGCACUAAAACAGACAGAAGGGAACAAAUCCAAGUGCAGACAGCUGAGGGGUUAUUUUCUAACCAACUCUUGUUAGUGAGGAAGUAGCACAGUGUUUGCCUGUGGCGUUGUGGCUGAAAUGUGGGCACCUACUAUUUCAUUCUGUUCAGACUGGUUACAAGUGGAAGGUGCUUCCCCCCUGGCCCACAGGGCUCUUGUGGAACAAGAGGGCAGAGAGGAGAAAGCCUCAUCUUUAGCAUCUAAAAGGGAUGUGCCCUACAGUGUUGCUUUACUGACCGUAGUAGGGAGUCCGGUCUGCAGUUCUGCCUGUCUCUCCAUUACACGGAGCAUAAAUGAAAAUCAGAAGCAACCCUGAAGGUCAGGUAGGGGAUGUGGUUUUGGUUCAGCUGGAACUCUGCUGUCCUCUUUUCUCAGGAACCACAAAGAUCUUUUUAAAAUUUCCUCCUCCUGCCUCCCAAAGCUACAUUCUACAGACUUUCAACACCAGGGCCCUGCAUGGUGUGGAGGAGGGGGAGCACUGUGCCUUUGCAAAGACUUUGUUGUGUGCACAUCUCUGCACUCCUUGGGGUGCGGUGGGGUCUGUCCAUCUUAGUGUCUGGUUUGAUAGAGUGUGAUUUAGCCUUUGAUUAUUAAGUACUUCUAGUUUCUUGGGACUCCCAAAGAAACCUGUACCACGCAAAACAGGGAACCAAGGAGUUGACAUUGCUUGAUGUCUUUGCAGGUCACUGAUGUAUCUAUCUUCCUACAAAAUAUAACAGGCAAUAACUUGUCAAUAAAGCAUUCCUUUGGAGGAGAACCCACUUCCAUUUUUUGGUGUGUCUUUAGGAUAAUGAAAAAAGAGUGGGGAGCAAAUGCACCAUUCCUUACUCCCAUAAACCAUGGCUUUGGGAUGGGGAGCUGGUAGGGGACAAUAACAUACAAGUCCCAAGUUUUUGGUGUGCAUAUAAAGGGAGAGAACUGUGUACAAGCUGCAUCUCUGUGUGAGACCAGAGGUGCGAGCCAGGCGUUCAGUUAAGGAGCUUGCCGUACAUUGUCAAGACUGAUUCCGAGGAAGGGGUUUGUCCCAGUGACCAUCUGGUUUUGCUGAGAGGUUGGGUCUGAAAUGUGGCGAACUGAAAAUCUUUGAGAGUACUGUGGACUCCAGCAAGUGGAGUAAGUAGAACCAGGGAACACUUCAAGGGCUCAUACUGGGGAAAAGCAACCAUAUCCAGGAACUCACCUGGUGGAAAUGGGCACUGGAGAGAGCAGCAUCUUGAGUCCCACCUAGAGAAGAUAGUUACUCUAGUGUGCAAUAACCCUUCCAAGGAAUCUGUAGAAGGCACGAUCUCUAGAUCAGGAGUCAUGUGCAAUGGUGAGCAACUGAAGACUCUUAAGUGCUUAGUCAACAGGCCAGGUUGGAGUUGUUGGCAAGAACAGAAGGGCUGAGAGAGUCAGAGGGAGAUCAAAGACUUGGUCUGUUGCAUGCACACCUCUGCUCACCUUUGGGGUGAGAUGAUGACUGUCCAUCUCAGUGUCUGGUUUGAUAGAGUGUGAUGUAUCCUUUGAUUAUCAAGCAUUCCUGGUUUCUUUGGAAACUUUCAAUACUGCACUUCAUACUGGAUGAGUCCAGAUGGCAGGGCAGCAAGUGGAUCUGUGCUAGGAAGUCUGAAUUUACCCUAGGCUACGUUGGAAGGCAGUCUCAUGCACUGGAACCAUUAAGCAGAUACUUUAAAUAAUCCGUGGGUAAGAGACUGCCUGUCAGGCUUUGUGGGUUCAUGGUUGUGUUAUGGACCCAGUCCUCAGACCUUUGUAGUUGUACCUUAAGGAAGAUGUGUUCCUCUAAGCAACCUUGGUUGUAAUAAAAUGAGGUUUGCUGAAAAUCUUUGAGAGUACUGUGGACUGCGGCUAACGGAGUGAGUAGAGCCAGGGCACAUUUCGAGGACUCGUACUGGGAAGGAGCAACCAUAUCUGAAAUAGGAAUGGGUGGUGGAACCUCUUAAUCAGAUAAAGGGGUAAGAUAAAGUACUUACCAUUAAAGGCAAAUACGAGAACCCCCUCAAAUUCUUAACCACUGCCAGCAUUUACCAGAAAUCUUCCUGUCAUACACACUCUUAAAGAUUGGUUCUUUAGCCACGUGUGGUGGUACAUACCUUCAAUCCCAGCAUUUAGGAGGCAGAGGCAGGUGGAUUUCUUUUGAGUUUGAGACUACCCUGGUCUACAAAGAGAGUUCCAAGAUAGCCUGGGCUACACAGAGAAAACUCAUAUCAAAAUAAAUGAAUUAUUAAAGUAAAAAAAGUGGAGAACUCAUAAACACACACACACACACACACACACACACACACACACACACACACACACACUAAACCAUUGUAAAAGGGCAGCAGUUACGAGAUCUCCUGAGUGCCUAUGGGCAAGGCAUACCCUAAGAUGCUCCUUUCUGUCAGGUUUGGCCACAGACUCUCAGUAAACAUUUACUAACCAUCAAUAGGCCUUCCUUCCGGCUCAUCCUGAGAGAGAUUCAUGGUUGUUUCUCACCAGUAAUACAAAUUUACAGCACGCGUAGGAAAACACAGAGAAUUGAGUAUAAUUUUCUGUGCACCCAAAUUCUCCAAAGUUUUAGUUCAUGGCUCAUUUCUGAGAGAAGGUCUCACGAUGUAGCUCUGGCUUAGAAUUCAUGACAUAGAAGAGGCUUGCCCCGAACUCACAGAAUUCCAUUGAACUCUUCAUCCCAAGUGCUGCGAAUAAGGGUAUGUGUCACCAACGCCUGAUGGACUAGUGACUUUUCUAUUGCUAAGAUAAACCAUCACAAAAGAAAGGAUUUAGUCUAGUUUAUGAUUUCAGAUGGAUAGAAUCCAUGAUAGCUAAAUGAAAGAAUAGCUGAGAGCUCACAUCUUGAGACAGCCAUGGUGCAGAAAGAGAGCACUAGAAAUCUUUUGAAACCUCAAAGCCUGCCCCCAGUGACGCAUCUUCUCUUGAGGGCCACACCUCCUAAUUCUUCUAAAACAGUUCCAGCAAGCAAGUAUUCAAAUAUAUGAGCCUAUGGGAGCCACUGUCAUUCAAACAGCUGACAUGUACUGCAUAUUCUAUAUUUCUAAAAUUUGUUGUUGAAAAAUGCUUUUUGAUAUGUACAGCAAAAGCCUCCAAGAACUACAAUAAUGUGUCAAAAAUCUAUAUAGUGAAUAUCUAUACAUUUGAGAUGUCGAAAGAUAAAAGCUUGUAAGUACCUUGCUGAUGGCUGCCAGCAAAGUCUUCAUAGAGAAGAAAUAUUGUCAGUUUAACCUUAUCUAUUAGGAUAGCAGUCCCAGGAAAACCAAAAGGAGAUCUCAUUUAUCUUGGCUCUAGGACGUUUAGGUGAUUCAGUGUAUUAGGUAAUAAAUUUAGAAAAUAUGAUUCAGACAGUGUAACUAUUGGAUACGAGCACAAUUACCUAGAGGGUAAAAUAAAAAAAAAAGAUGUUUUCAAAGUCAGCUAGCUGCCUAGCUUUAAAAUUUAUGACUAGUCUAAGUCAAGAAAUGAAGAAUCAACCCAGAAAAUCUCUAAGAAAAUGCAACUUUAAACAGAAAUGGAACUUUAAAAAGAAGUGGAAAACCCCAAUAUACCAACAAUUAUCAAGGAAAAAUACAGCUUACCUCUAAUUCCUAUCCUUCUAACCUAAACAUAUUAAAGAAAGACAGUUCCAGGCUCCAGGGAUGAUUCAGAGGUUAAGAGCACAGACUGCUCUUCCACAAACCAUUUCAAUUCCCAGUACCCACACAGCAGUUCACAACUGUCUGUAACUGUAGUUCCGAGGGAUCUGAUGGAGAAAAUGUAUCCUAUGACAGUAUUGUGAAAUAAAAGUAAUAAUAUAUUAGAUUUUUAUUUAAAGCCACCCACUGUAAGAAAAUCAGGCUGGUUUAGAGAUAGAAAUGUAAAGACCAAUACCAUUAAACAAUUAGAAGUGUGUGUGUGUGUGUGUGUGUGUGUGUGUGUGUGUGUGUAUGUGUGUGUGUGUGUGUGUGUGUGUGUGUGUGUGUGUACAAGAGGGUCAGGUUCCAUCUUGAGCUGGCAGAACUGAGCACUGCUGUCCAUGCGGUACUGACUUUACAGGCACGGGAAUGAGGGAAUUGUGAAAACAUGCACUAAGGUUCACCAGGCUGCUGAGCCCAGGCACGGUUGUGGCAGCGGCAAAUUCUCUACAAGGCCUGGAGGAGCCACUGCAUAGGUGAAACCUAAAUUGCAGUAAACCCAGGACAUGGGCAAUGAUAAUCUAUGAUGUAGAAUUAUGAGCUGAAAUAAAGUAUUUCUUCCCCGUUGGUGUGUGUGAUAUUUUCUAUUGUGAGUUUGUGGUGUCUGGUCAGCUGCAGCACUGACUGUGACUAAUGAGACCAGAAUAAAUGGAACAAAACUUUUGCUCUCCUGGGACAAUGAAUGUUACUUAGCUGGGGCUGAGAGAGGAGUGGUGAUUAAGAAGAGACCAGCAUCACUGAGACGAAAUCUUCUGGGAAGGGUUUUCUCGGGGUCAACACACAGAAGCUGCGCUCCAGAGGGGACUAAGGCUGUGCCUGCUGUGGCAGCUGAGUUGUUAAUCUGUAAAUUUCACAGGUCACAGUAAUAUCGGCGAAAGUCCAGCCUUCGCAGUAAAAGCCCUAGAAUUAGAGGUCGUGUUCAGAAGCUGAGACUUGGCACCAUGUGGCAGGGUCGGAAUCUCCAGAGUCAGCCCAGGGGAGGCAAGUGAGGAGAGCCGGCCCAGUUGCGGUGGCGAUCCCAGCAUUUUGGGAAUGACCGUACUGCGGGGUCGCCAGCAAGGACAACGGCAUGCAGAGUGGAGCUGUGAGCUGUGGGUGGCAGACUCGGAAAGGAAAUAGCUGCCCAGCCAUUAGGAGCCCAGAGGGUCGAGAGUGGGUUCCGGGCACCAAGUCCUUAAGUCUUCACACCGCUGAACUUUGCCUUGGUUCCUCCCUCUUGGAGUUAGGAAGUACUUCACUUAUUUUGACUUUGCAGGAGCCCACAGUUGAUGGCUGAACUUUUGAAGAGACUCUGGAGUUUUAGGAUGACUGGGCAUUUUUAGAGAGACUGGAUAUUUUAGAGAGGCCUGAGCAUUGAAAGUGGUUGAAUUUUUAAAUAAUGCGGGGCUUUUAUCUUCACAGAUUUCAUAUUACAGAGAAACCCUGAAAACGUGAAGAAUGUAGCAAAGCUUCUUCGACCCUCAUUGGACUCGUUUUUAACUAUAUUUCUGCGUGCGUCUGAGAGAGAGAAAUAAAGGGUGUGGAGUUGACUGGCUGAGGUGGGAAGGAUCCGAGAUGAGUCAAGGGAGGAGAGCCAUGUCCACAAUAUAUUGUAUGAAAAGUUUCUUCAAUUAAAUAAAACGGGAAUACAAAUCUA